AUGCUUAGCAUCCUCCGUGUCCUCCGAGAAGUAAAAGUGAGUGGUGGAAGACGAAGGAUCUCUGAAGCCUCAUCAGUCAUCGGGACCAUCAGGAAUAGUGGUUUAAGAGGACGCUCGGCCUGGGGCACCAUACCGUGUCAUCGAGUUCCCUGCCUCGGAGAUAAAGAUUCCAGCUACAUGGGUAAACGCCUGGAUCAGCCACAAAUGUACCCCCAGUACACUUACUACUAUCCUCACUGUCUCUAAACCAAGGUAUGGCUCGACCCACAGUCUGGCAAGCAGUGUGUAUCCUGCACUUGGGAUGGGAAACAGGCAUGUGGAUUAUUAUUUACCUCCCCUUUCCCAUCACCUCUUCCUGCUUCUUUGAAAUUAGUAACAUAGCAAUGGAGUUACUGAGGCAGAGGAGAAUAUGAGAAGAAAGCAAGCCCUGGGACUGUGGUUUUUCUCUUCUAGCGGAGAUAAUAGUUUCGCUCGUGUUCCUUUGUUGUUAUUUGGCAACAUAAAGAUGUUCCUGAUAUCCGUAGUAAAGUGCUUUGCAGAUGGACAGGGUUGUUAGAAAGGAGAUUGUGACAGUGAUUAUCAGGAACAACAACGAUUUCAGAGGCUUUUCUGGUGAGCUGUUCUUGUGGCUCUGAAAGGGUUUUUCUCACUGGAUAGGAUGCACAAGGGUGGGGGCAACUCAGACUUUCAUUCACAGAGUAUAGAAUGAAAGAAGGGUGUGGGAAGGUAUAGUACGACUAACUGACGUCCCGUAGAGUUUGUUUGGGUGUGCUUUUGUUUUUGUGUAUUUGCCUUACAUAUUUUAUUUUAUAUGGAGGGUGAUCAAGACUCUAGAGACUGAAGUUUGGAGCUUUACAAUAGAUGUUCUUUACUUUUCGAAGCUCUGUUUUUCUGUGCUGGCUGCCAUCAGGAGGCCUGUGGGUCUUGAAACGGGAUGAAAUAUAACUGAUGAUAAUUGGACACGAAUUGGUUAAAUACUUUAGUCUUGGGAUCCCUGGGUGGCGCAGUGGUUUGGCGCCUGCCUUUGGCCCAGGGCGCAAUCCUGGAGACCUGGGAUCAAAUCCCACGUUGGGCUCCCGGUGCAUGGAGCCUGCUUCUCCCUCUGCCUAUGUCUCUGCUUCUCUCUCUGUGUGUGACUAUCAUAAAUAAAUUUAAAAAAAUUUAAAAAAAUUUUUUAAUA
rnacentral:lncRNA from 12 species